rnacentral:rRNA from 1 species
AGUCACUGACAUUAGACUACCCCGGUAGUCCCAGCCGUAAACUAUGCGCGUUAGGUGUACUGGUGACCACGAGUCGACCGGGUGCCGAAGGGAAACCGUGAAACGUGCCGCCUGGGAAGUACGGUCGCAAGGCUGAAACUUAAAGGAAUUGGCGGGGAGCACCACAACGGGUGGAGCCUGCGGUUUAAUUGGACUCAACGCCGGAAAUCUCACCGGAUAGGACAGACAUAUGAUAGUCGGGCUGAAGACUCUACUUGAUGAUCUG